rnacentral:rRNA from 1 species
UACAGAGGGGGCAAGCGUUGUUCGGAAUUACUGGGCGUAAAGGGCGCGUAGGCGGCCUUCUAAGUCGAACGUGAAAUCCCCGGGCUCAACCCGGGAACUGCGUCCGAUACUGGAAGGCUUGAAUUCGGGAGAGGGAUGCGGAAUUCCAGGUGUAGCGGUGAAAUGCGUAGAUAUCUGGAGGAACACCGGUGGCGAAGGCGGUUCUCUGGGCAUUACCUGACGCUGAGGAGCGAAAGCGUGGGGAGCGAACAGG